GAUGAAGAACGUAGCGAAAUGCGAUAAGUAAUGUGAAUUGCAGAAUUCAGUGAAUCAUCGAAUCUUUGAACGCAUCUUGCGCUCCUUGGUAUUCUGAGGAGCAUGCCUGUUUGAGUGUCAUUAAAUUCUCAACUACACUGACUUUGAAUUGGUGUGGCUUGGAUUUGGGGGGAAAAUUGUUGUGGGCUUUUUGUAUAGUCUGCUCCCCUGAAAUUGAUUAGCGGUACCUUUGUGGAACUGUCUACAGGUGUGAUAAUUAUCUACAUCUUAGACAUCUGCUGGAAUGCUGCUUUCUAAACCGUACUUGUAUUGACAAUCUUGACCUCAAAUCAGGUAGGACUACCCGCUGAACUUAAGCAUAUCAAUAAGCGGAGGA
rnacentral:misc_RNA from 1 species